AUGCAAGUCGACGGGGUUGCGUCCUUAGGGAUGCAUGAGAGUGGCGCACGGGUGAGUAACGCGUAACUGAUCUGCCCCGCAUUCUGGGAUAACCUUUGGAAACAGGGGCUAAUGCCGGAUGAUUUCCUGGUGGUUAGGUUCAUUGGGAGCAAAGCGAAUGCGAUGCGGGAUGGGGUUGCGUUCCAUCAGCUGGUUGGUGAGGUAAGGGCUCACCAAGGCGAUGACGGAUAGGGGAUCUGAGAGGGUGGCCCCCCACACUGGGACUGAGACACGGCCCAGACUCCUGCGGGAGGCAGCAGUAAGGGAUAUUGCACAAUGGGCGGAAGCCUGAUGCAGCGACGCCGCGUGGGCGAAGAAGGUUUUCGGAUCGUAAAGUCCUUUUCUGCGUGACGAUGAUGACGGUAGCGCAGGAAUAAGCGUCGGCUAACUACGUGCCAGCAGCCGCGGUAAAACGUAGGACGCGAGCGUUAUCCGGAGUUACUGGGCGUAAAGCGCGCGCAGGCGGGCGCAUAAGUCACCUAUGAAAGGCGCUGGCUAAACUGGCGGAUGUUGGGUGUUACUGUGUGUCUUGAGAGAAACAGAGGGGAGCGGAAUUCCGGGUGUAGUGGUGAAAUGCGUAGAUAUCCGGAGGAACAUCGGUGGCGAAGGCGGCUCUCUGGGUUUCCACUGACGCUGAGGCGCGAAAGCGUGGGUAGCGAACGGGAUUAGAAACCCCGGUAGUCCACGCCGUAAACGAUGCACAUUAGGUGUUCGGUCAUGUUAAGUGAUUGAGCGUUGCAGCAAACGCGAUAAAUGUGCCGCCUGGGGAGUACGGUCGCAAGGCUAAAACUCAAAGGAAUUGACGGGGGCCCGCACAAGCAGCGGAGCGUGUGGUUUAAUUCGAGGCUACGCGAAGAACCUUACCUGGGUUUGACAUGGCAGUAGUACGGGAAGCGAAAGCGGAAGGACCUUCGGGCUG
rnacentral:rRNA from 1 species